GUAUCAAAACACAGUCCAGCUAUGCAAAGCCCAAAACUGAUCACACAUUUUGAUAUUUAAUUUCCAUCACAAAAGGCAUGCACAGCAUAUUUUAUGCAAGACAUAAAUCAAUGACAAUUUUUAACCGUACUUCAAUGUACAAUAUUCUUUCAUGUUAUAAAUAACAACUGAAUACUGAAAUGUAGCAGUAUUCUGAAAAACACUGUCAGAUAUUCCCCUUUCUACUGUUUUGGAAGAACUUGGUACUAGUACUUUUAUUCUAAAUCAGUUUAUUAAUAAAUAUAAUGAUAUUAAACCAUUUUUUUCAAAUAGAUGUCAACACUAACUAUGGCACUGAGGGAUGUUCACAUAUCAAUAAAGAGAGAGAAAAAAGGAUUAAUCAUGGCAGUGAGUUAUGUUCCAACUCAUGUUUGAAAUGGCUGAAUAUGAGAGUUUUUCAAUCUUCUAUACUAAUAAAUUCUCAGUAUUAAAGAAAGUUAAUAUCUCAUUUGUUUUACUAAUGACUGAGGUUUCUCACCAAAUAGUUAGACUAAAAUUAAAAGAUCAAUGUACUACACUGGUAAUUUUUUUACCACUGUGUUUAUAUACAUAGCAUUCUAUAAUACUUGCAUAUAGAAUGUUCUUCAAAAUGCUGAACUAAUAAAAUACUGAAUUAUUAAAAACCUUUAAUUCUGAUAUACUUUUUUUUCUUUCAGUUUAAUUUUUGUUUCAAGGGCUUCAGGAUGCACAAAGUUUUAAAAUAACAGAGUAAUAAUUCAAAUUUUUUCCCCUUUAUUAGCAACUUUUAUGCCUUUUUUAGAUAAGUUUUAAUUGAGUAGUUAGAAAAUGCAAAAAGAUACAAGAUUAAAGACAUAAAUAACACAAGAAAAUUAUCCAAACAUGGAACUGAACACUUUGAACAUCAACUAAUCCUGUGAAAUCUACUGGUAGGAAUUAGUACACAGAACAACUCCCAAACUGUCACUGAACAGAAAACAACAAUUCAGAAUUACAAAUAUUAUAGGAAGUAAGCUGUUUUGACAGGGGUGAGGUGGAAUAUAAAUAUAAAAACUGUGUGGUAAGUUGAAAUGGAGGUCAUACUGAAACUUAAAUAAGAAAUAGCUUCAAAUUUUGCUCCUUACAUUGGUAUCUAUUUCACAUUUUUACCAUUACUAGUUUUUCACUAGUAAAUGUUUGAACAAUUUCAACUGGAACACUGUACUUAGGCUAAAGCCGAUUCAAAAACUUCACAGUAAAAGCUUUAAAUAAACAAAAAAAAAAACAAUUUCAAUCUUGCAUGUGUGUGUAAUUUGAUUCAAGAUUGUGUAAGUUAUCUGAUAA